rnacentral:rRNA from 1 species
UACGGGGGGGGCAAGCGUUGUUCGGAAUUACCGGGCGUAAAGGGCUCGUAGGCGGCCAACUAAGUCAGACGUGAAAUCCCUCGGCUUAACCGGGGAACUGCGUCUGAUACUGGUUGGCUUGAAUCCGGGAGAGGGAUGUGGAAUUCCAGGUGUAGCGGUGAAAUGCGUAGAUAUCUGGAGGAACACCGGUGGCGAAGGCGGCAUCCUGGACCGGUAUUGACACUGAGGAGCGAAAGCCAGGGGAGCAAACGGG